rnacentral:rRNA from 1 species
CUUGGUCAUUUAGAGGAAGUAAAAGUCGUAACAAGGUUUCCGUAGGUGAACCUGCGGAAGGAUCAUUAACAAAUCCGGUGUACUGUUUCAUGUGCAUUUCAUGUGCAUGCAUCAGUGACACACAAGUUCCAUGUGCACGUUCACUCUGCACAUGACAUUUCUGUUUAUUGUCUGAUUGUGAUUGGUGUUGAAAUGAUAAUGACUUUUAACAAUGGAUCUCUAGGCUCUUGCAUCGAUGAAGAACGCAGUGAAGUGCGAAAAGUAAUGCGAUUUGCAUGCUCUGUGAGUCAUCGAAUCUUUGAACGCAUAUGGCACCUUUUGGUCAUACUAAAAGGUAUGCCUGUUUGAGAAUCAUUUACCCUCUUGAUCCAUUGAUCAACUUGUUUGAUUGACAUGGUAUCAGACAUGGACAUUAUUCAUCAAUGAUAGUCUUGAAUUGUGCACGAUUGUGUCGUGAUAGAAUGGCAUUGCUGCUGUGGUUGAUCGACCAAUCCUUUUACCUUUGUUAAUGAUCUCAAAUCAGGCAAGACUACCCGCUGAACUUAAGCAUAUCAAUAAGCGGAGAA